rnacentral:rRNA from 1 species
AUUGAACGCUGGCGGCAGGCCUAACACAUGCCAGUCGAACGGUAACAGGGAUCAGCUUGCUGAUUCGCUGACGAGUGGCGGACGGGUGAGUAAUGUCUGGGAAACUGCCUGAUGGAGGGGGAUAACUACUGGAAACGGUAGCUAAUACCGCAUAACGUCGCAAGACCAAAGAGGGGGACCUUCGGGCCUCUUGCCAUCGGAUGUGCCCAGAUGGGAUUAGCUAGUAGGUGGGGUAACGGCUCACCUAGGCGACGAUCCCUAGCUGGUCUGAGAGGAUGACCAGCCACACUGGAACUGAGACACGGUCCAGACUCCUACGGGAGGCAGCAGUGGGGAAUAUUGCACAAUGGGCGCAAGCCUGAUGCAGCCAUGCCGCGUGUAUGAAGAAGGCCUUCGGGUUGUAAAGUACUUUCAGCGGGGAGGAAGGGAGUAAAGUUAAUACCUUUGCUCAUUGACGGUACCCGCAGAAGAAGCACCGGCUAACUCCGUG